UGCGCAGGUGGGCAAUUAAGUCAGGGGUGAAAUGGUGCGGCUCAACCGUAGCACUGCCCUUGAUACUGGUUGUCUUGAGUCAUAGUGAAGUGGCCGGAAUAUGUAGUGUAGCGGUGAAAUGCAUAGAUAUUACAUAGAACACCGAUUGCGAAGGCAGGUCACUAACUAUCGACUGACGCUGAUGGACGAAAGCGUGGGGAGCGAACAGGAUUAGAUACCCUGGUAGUCC
rnacentral:rRNA from 1 species